GGGCCAUAUUACGUUGAAACAUAGGUUCUUAUCCGAUCACCGAAGUUAAGCAACGUUGAACCUGGUCAGUCCCUAGAUGGGUGACUACUCGGGAAUACCAGAUGCUGUUA